rnacentral:rRNA from 1 species
AACCUAGAGCUAAAGCAUUGGUAGAUGACCUGCUUCUGGGUUGUGGUUUCAUAUGGAGAAAGCUGUCCUUUCACUCCAGUCUUUUGAAAGCCAGACCUUGACACAAGGGUUUG